UGCUCAGACUAGUGAAUGAAUAAAAAAUUAAUCUAUUCUUAUAACCUCUAUGAUAUGCAUCAUCCCGAGUAAAUAAAACAGGUGAAUGUCAACGACAGUUAUUGUUUGCUAUAUGCAAUCCCCAGCAUAAAUGUUCUGACAGGCGAAAGAUUCACUAGAAGCAUUUAGACUACAGCUGUGCGCUAACAAAACUGUGAAGCUUAUGAUGGAAAUGCAUAAAUACCUAUGGCUUACCUGGUUGAAAUUUUUAAAUAGAAAUUCCUUGUAUAUUGCAUCACGGUCUUUGACUUGUGUCCAGCCAGCAUCAAGCAGGGGUGUGAGGCUGGUCUUCCUCUCUUCAUCGUUAAGCUUUGCCCUCU
rnacentral:lncRNA from 1 species